GCCGCCUUAGCUCAGUUGGUUAGAGCGCCGGUUUGUGGAACCGGAGGUCCUCAGUUCAAGCCUGAGAGGCGGUGCCA
rnacentral:tRNA from 1 species